UUUUAAUACUGUCGGUCUUGAGUAUGGGAGAGGGAGAUGGAAUUCCCAGGUGUAGCGGUGGAAUGCGUAGAAUAUCUGGGAAGAACACCAGUUGCGAAGGGCGGUCUCCUGGACCAAUACUGACGCUGAUGCUCGAAAGCUGGGGGAGCGAACAGGAUUAGAUACCCUGGUAGUCCCAGCCGUAAACGAUGGACACUAGUUUGCCGGAGGAGUCAAAUCCCCUUCGGUGACGAAGCUAACGCAUUAAGUGUCCCGCCUGGGGAGUACGCUCGCAAGGGUGAAACUCAAAGGAAUUGACGGGGGCCCGCACAAGCGGUGGAGCAUGUGCUUUAAUUCGAUGCAACGCGAAGAACCUUACCUGGGUUUGACAUGGGGGUGAAAGUUUCCAGAGAUGGAAGCCUUUCCUUCGGGAACACCCCACACAGGUGCUGCAUGGUUGUCGUCAGCUCGUGUCGUGAGAUGUUGGGUUAAGUCCCGCAACGAGCGCAACCCCUGCCCUUAGUUGCCAUCAGGUAAAGCUGGGAACUCUAAGGGGACAGCUUGGUAUAACCAGGAGGAAGGUGGGGAUGACGUCAAAUCAUCAUGGCUCUUACGCCCAGGGCUAGACACGUGCUACAAUGGCAGGUACAGUGGGAUGCCAGCCUGCGAAGGUGAGCUAAUCCCUUAAAACCUGUCUCAGUCCGGAUUGGAGUCUGCAACUCGACUCCAUGAAGUUGGAAUCGCUAGUAAUCGCGGAUCAGCACGCCGCGGUGAAUACGUUCCCGGG
rnacentral:rRNA from 1 species